UUUGGAAGAAGCUUUGGAACCAGUUUAUAUACUUGGAAAAUUAAUUUGCUUGAUAGGCAUCUGUGGUUAUACCAGUUCCAUGUGGGGCUCUGUGUUAGGCCUUUGAGGACGUUCUUUAGGGACCCAGCAGGGAGCCUUGUGGGAGAAGAGAGAGGCCCACGGUUAAGUACAACUAACUGGCAUGAUUUGGGCAUUCCAGAAGCUUGAGCUAUGUGAUGAGGCUGUAUCCUACCUCAGUCUGUGGGGGCUUCACUAGCUUGAAAGAAAAUAGGAAUAAAUUAAAAUUCAAACUGCAUUUAUCCUGUCUAUUUAAUUAGGUUUACUGACAUCCAUAGACUAAUAAUUCGGAUCCUAAUGGCUUGGAAGCUUGAGCUAAGUAUUGUCAUGGCACAGCAAUAUCUGCUCUAGGACAUGUUUACAACAUUACAUUUAGUGUCUUUUUUACUAUUAUGAAAGUAAUAUAUGCUUAUGUGGACAUUUAGGAACACACGCAAGAGUGUAGAUGAAACACCUAAUCACCCAUAAUUCAAUACCUAGAGAUUAUUGCUGUCUUUUAAAAAAAUGUGUUUUCCCAUAUGAGUAUAUUGUAUAAAAAAAUCUUACAACUUUAAAAAAAAUUUUUUUAUGUUAUCACAUGUUUUUAGGAUGGUAGAAUUAAAGCCCAUUAACAGUCUUGUUAUUUAUUCCAGUUUUUUUUCUAAAAUAAUAGCUUUGAACAUAAAUCUCAAUAAUUUUUGCAUGUAAGUAUAUAAAAAUAUUUCUGGAUAUAACUAGGUAAAGAAUAAUUAACAGAGCCAAAGGAGGCAUGCUGAGCGGGGCUGAGAAGUGGGCCCCUGAGCCAGCAAGUGCCAGGGAACACCUUGCAGGCGCAGGCAGGGGGCCUGAGCUGGCAACCAAGGCUCUUGAUCUGAAACUUAAAGGAACAGACUGGGUUCUGGUAGGCGUGUGGAAUCGGGAUCCAGGGAGCUGUGGGGCAUCUCAAGAAGUUAAGUUAAAUGGUGUCAGGAGGGGAAAAUAGGCAGUAAGUAUCUGGCUCUAGCCUUGGGUCCCAGGCUGAUCUAGCUAGCGGCAGCAUGGCCAUC
rnacentral:lncRNA from 1 species